AACUGGGUAGCUCAGUUGGUUAGAGCGCGGGACUCAUAAGCCCGAGGUCGUGGGUUCGACCCCCACCCCCGCUACCA
rnacentral:tRNA from 1 species